AGUGAACGCUGGCGGUAGGCCUAACACAUGCAAGUCGAACGGCAGCACAGUAAGAGCUUGCUCUUACGGGUGGCGAGUGGCGGACGGGUGAGGAAUACAUCGGAAUCUACUUUUUCGUGGGGGAUAACGUAGGGAAACUUACGCUAAUACCGCAUACGACCUACGGGUGAAAGCAGGGGGUCUUCGGACCUUGCGCGAUUGAAUGAGCCGAUGUCGGAUUAGCUAGUUGGCGGGGUAAAGGCCCACCAAGGCGACGAUCCGUAGCUGGUCUGAGAGGAUGAUCAGCCACACUGGAACUGAGACACGGUCCAGACUCCUACGGGAGGCAGCAGUGGGGAAUAUUGGACAAAGGGCGCAAGCCUGAUCCAGCCAUACCGCGUGGGUGAAGAAGGCCUUCGGGUUGUAAAGCCCUUUUGUUGGGAAAGAAAAGCAGCAGGUUAAUACCCCGCUGUUCUGACGGUACCCAAAGAAUAAGCACUGGCUAACUUCGUG
rnacentral:rRNA from 1 species